AUGUUGUGGUGCAGGAACGUCGCGUCGCGGGCGCGGUGGGUGGAGGAGGCUGGUGCGGCAGAGGUGUUGGACAACAAGGGGAAGCUCUGGCUGACCACUGGCAUAGCACGGGGUGGCAAGCUCUACUACAAUGUGGAGGAGAUCGGGUUCUUGGCAGAAAGAGGGGCAUUGGUUAUUCUCGAUGACAAGGAUGAAACCGUUGGAAUGGAGGAGAUCUAUGGAAAGAUUGCAAGUGGAAGUUAUGGGUGCUCCUGGGAUGCCUUCCAAGCUUACACGCACUUGAAGUUCCUUGGCUACAUUGUUGGACGAUAUGACGUUCCCUGGACAAUGAAGCAUAUCUGUUCUGGUGACGUCACCAAUUCCCCCGAGAGUAUGGAUGCCACAAGCCAGAGCUUUGGUAAAGCCAAUGGUGCCUGCAACGACAUUACCAAAUUGCUCAUAGGAAUGCACAUAGGUGGGAUGUAUCCAUCCUUUAAAGUGCAUCUACCAAAUAGCAAAUUUAAGAAGUCGUACCCAGGAGUCCCUAGUUUUCUUGUAUGUCUGUUAAGUUUUCAGUUUAUUUCAUACAACCUGCCGAUCGGUAUUUCUGGCCAUAACCUUUUUUGUUGUUGGAUUUGGCACAAAGACAAGCCACCUUCAAGGGAUGAACUGGAAACGGUAGAGAACAAGUUUGACGACAUUCCUCUUAAAUUCUGUCAAGUUGAUAAUGGGCGUAUCAGCUUCCUCUCCUUUGAUAAAGUUACACUUCCUAGUUUGCCCUGA
rnacentral:rRNA from 1 species